rfam:Pelecanus crispus contig86242, whole genome shotgun sequence.
GGCCAGUUAGCGCAGUCAGUUAGAGCAUGGUGCUAAUAACACCAAGGUCGCGGGUUCAAUCCCCAUACGGGCCA